CUGUUUCUAUUCAUUUUGAAAAGUUUUGCGCGUUAUUGCAUGUCUGUGGAAUAAAAACAACGUUUUAUUAUAAGCUGUGGUGUUUCAUUAAAGUUUGUGCAGCCAGAGCUCCGGUAUAAAUAUGUAGUGGCGACAGACGUCAGGAGUAUAUUUUACUGCAUGGAGAAUGUUACAACACAGGUUUCCGAACGGCUACCCACGAACAUAUCAGCUUUCUUUCCUUCCGCAGUACACCUUUUCAACGAGGCCCGAAUAGCUGUCAGUGGCCACAAUAAAAGGCGCGUUUGCGUCAGUAAUUGAAAAGGGAUCGCUGGCCAGUCUUUUUCUCGGCUGUCUGGUUGACGUUUGGCUGCCAAAUUGACAGUUUGGCGCGCUCAUUUAUCUUGAUAUAGUUACUGAAGAAAUGAAGAUAUUGUAUUGUGCUGUAGCUAUACUUUAGUCAUACAUCGAAAAAAACUCGAGUCUUAUUUAUUUGUAAAAAUGUAAAUGUAUGAAUGUUUUUUGCCGUUAUUUUUGAGAUUCCAUCUUGGUGGAUCUUUUGACAUGAUUGCCCAACAUAUUAAGCCAAUCAGGUAAGUAUUUCUGGCACACGUUUUGUGUGUUAAGAAUAAAACACUAUUACCAGGAGUAGUAUUAUUUUGACUUUGUUUAAAAUUUUGCACUACAAUGCAAAUCUUAGUGCGGAGCAAGAUCUCGUGAAUUGGCUGAAGUUGUUUUCAGCGGCGCAUUUGGUUAUGACGGCUUUUGGCCCAGUUCACCGGAAUACAUUUUAGCUGUUUUCUUUAGCUACUGCGAAAAUUAAUUUAAUGAAAACAACUGUAUCUAGCGUCUGCGAAUGGCAGUUUGUAUAAGAGAUUGUUUUUGCUUUGUCGUAAAAUAUAAUUAAAAAUUUAAUAUUUGGAGAGACCUGAAAGUAUUGGUUUCAAAUAAAACAAUAAUCAACCUUGUUUUGUUUACCUGCACAUAAUCACAAGGUCGACCGAUUCCCAAUUUGUAGUUCUGUCUUACAUACUUCGUUUGUUUUAAACUGUACAUCUAGACAUGUUACGGAAUAAAUAAAGAAAUAAUUUCAAACAGAACAUUUACCUAACAACAUUAUGCUGCUCAUAAAAAAGUAAAUAAAAUCCAAGCAAAGUUAAUUAAAGCUCAGUUAAAAGUCAAAAUAUUUAGAUUCCUGUUACUGUCAUAACGAACGACAACAAUAUGAUUUGCGAAUAAAAAAGUCACAUCAA